AGGGAUUUGGGCAUGGGGGGAACCCUGUCAGCCUGCCGCGUGUGUGAAGAAGGCCUUUUGGUUGUAAAGCACUUUAAGCGAGGAGGAGGCUACUCUAGUUAAUACCUAGGGAUAGUGGACGUUACUCGCAGAAUAAGCACCGGCUAACUCUGUGCCAGCAGCCGCGGUAAUACAGAGGGUGCGAGCGUUAAUCGGAUUUACUGGGCGUAAAGCGUGCGUAGGUGGCCAAUUAAGUCAAAUGUGAAAUCCCCGAGCUUAACUUGGGAAUUGCAUUCGAUACUGGUUGGCUAGAGUAUGGGAGAGGAUGGUAGAAUUCCAGGUGUAGCGGUGAAAUGCGUAGAGAUCUGGAGGAAUACCGAUGGCGAAGGCAGCCAUCUGGCCUAAUACUGACACUGAGGUACGAAAGCAU
rnacentral:rRNA from 1 species